AAAUAAAGAAUUAUUAGAUUUUCUUUUAAAAUAUUUAUUGGCAUAGGGAAAAGUCUGAAACUAUGUGCAUUUGAUGUAUUUUUAACCUUAAUUUUUCAAUAAUGAUUAUAUGUUACUUGCAUAAUUACAAAACAGAAAAAAUAAGAAAUUCACUCAUAUCUCAGCUAAGUUUACACAUGGCAAAAUAUUUUCCACUAAAUAUCAAAUACAUUAGAACCAUCUCAAAUGAGUGUUAUAUUUAUUUGGAUUUCAAACUGAAAAGAUAACCAAACCAAAAGUUCCAGUAUCUAGAAAGGAAGUUUCAACAAGAUUCUAAUUAUCAGCUAACUUCAUAAAAACUUAGUUAGGAAAAUUUGUUUAUGUAAAAAACAUCCAGGGUUUCAAGAUAAUAUGUCCACAGGAAACUUUAGAAAGCUUUAAGGCCAAGUUCUGGGAUAACAGUUCACUAACUUACAAACACAUAUGAAAAAUGUAUGAGAUCCAUACAUUUUUAUAAGCACACUAUAUUUCCCCUGGGAGGUAUGUAGGAAGCAGUUAAAUUAUCUUUUGUCCUUGACCUGGAUAAAGUAAUGCUUAUGCUGGAAAUUAAACUAAGUACCCAGGACAAGCUUUCUUCUCUGGCAAUUUAAAAGGAUUUUCUACUAUAGAAAUAUGUCAGCUUUCCUCUGUCUGACCUUCUGGUCCCACUUGUCCUCCUCCAUGCAAAAUUGGCCAAGCCUGCACACUUAAAGGAAGACCGAUAGAUGCUCAGGUGCAAGGCGAAGGCUCUGGGGCUGAGACCCCAGUGCAGGGCCAUCCUGUCUCUUUUUACCCCUUUCUGCAGCCCUUCCAUGUCCCAAAAGAAUGAACAGACUAUUCCAUAAGCCUGCAAGUAGAUAUCCCAGUGAGUCUCAGGAUUGUCUGAUUCUUUCAACAGAAAUAUGUCUUAAAUCAUCACCAUGUUAUUUCUGAGUAGUAGGCAUCCAUCCAGAAAACUCGUUUAACUCACCAGUUUCCAGCGUAAUAUCUUGAUCCACUCAUCAGCUUCUACUCCUGUCUUUGCACAGAGGUAAAAUGUCCUGAAUGGAAAUACUAAGC